GGGAGGGUGACAACCGCCAGCCGGCCCACCUCCUCAGUCCCCAUUGGCUACAAGGCGCCACUGCCGCGCUACGGCUGGGGCUUCCCAGCUAGAGCAGGAGAAUGACGGCCGCUCCCUCCCGCGCCGGAAAGGAGGCAGCACCCUGCACGUUCCCCACCUGAAUUCAGCCACCCUCACUACUGCCACCAGCCCAGGAUAAGGAUCAUAUUUCCAGUCUCCUCUGCAGCUACCCGGCCACUGGACCAAUCUCCAACCAGGCAGAUAAAGGGAUGGAAGUUAGAGGCUCGCCUGGUGACUUCCGGUAACAGCUUUGUACCACUUUCCCUAGAACGAUCCUCCUGCCUCCUUCCUGCCAGCUCCAUGGAUUGUAAAAUCACGUUGGGUGUGGCAGCCAGACAGAAUAAAGCACCAAAUUAAAACAGGUGCCAGUGUCCCCAUGUCAUGCAGAGCCAGCCCCAGCCUAUCUCCAGGUUUCCAAAAUAAAGAGAAAAAUG
rnacentral:lncRNA from 1 species